GAAAUACUCCUUCCGUUCUAAAUUACUCGUCACAUAAAUGGAUAUAUCUAGAACUAAAAUACAUCUAGAUACAUCCAUACCUGCGACAAGUAAUUCGGAACGGAGGGAGUAGUAC
rfam:Triticum aestivum genome assembly, contig: Triticum_aestivum_CS42_TGACv1_scaffold_289950_4AL